GCAUGCCCCGGGGCAAGAUGGCGGCCUGAGCCGAGCGCGCGCGGGUCUGGGCUGAAGAAGAGGAAGAGGAGGAGGAGCAGCGGCGGCGGCGGCGGGGCAAAGUUUGAGGCGAGCGGGAGCCGCUCUUUCCGGAGGAUCUGGGCGCCUGAAAGGCCCUUCGCCUCAGGAACGGCGCAGGCUCAGCCCCGCUUCCGCCUCGCUCCUGGAACUCAUCCUUCUUCUCCUCCUUUUUGGCCGUGGCCCCUCAGAGGCAGAGCACCCCGACCCCGAGGAGGUUUUAGAAGCCAUUGGCCAGAUGCUGUUAGAUGCCAUCAGGAAACUUCAGAGUCAAGAGGAGAGGCAUGUUUGGACAAAACAACACUUUGGAUCUGAUCUAACUGGAACUUUGUAUUUUGGGGAAUGUUUGAAAACUGAAGAAUCCAUUUGGGACAUGAAGUAUUGCUAGUCAUGGAGAAAGUGCUAUAGAUCAGCAGUGUCCUGGAGCCUACAGUGUCAUGAAUGUUCUUUCAGCUGGAAAAGAAGGGAUGGCAAUGGUCUCCAUGCUAAGUAGUCUUUCUUUUCUUCA